rnacentral:rRNA from 1 species
GACGAACGCUGGCGGCGUGCCUAAUACAUGCAAGUCGAACGCAGUGGGGACGGGUGAGUAACACGUGGGUAACCUCCCAUCAGAGGGGAUAACACUUGGAAACAGGUGCUAAACCGAUACUGGCGGAUGGACCCGCGGUGCAUUUGCUAGUUGGUGAGGUAACGGGUCACCAAGGCACCGAGGCAUAGCCGACCUGAGGGGGUGAGCGGGCACACGGGGACGUUGACACGGCCCAGACGCCUACGGGAGGCAGCAGUAGGGAAUCGGCGGCAAUGGACGAAAGGCUGACCGAGCAACGCCGCGUGAGUGAAGAAGGUUUUCGGAUCGUAAAACUCUGUUGUUAGAUAAGCGGUAUCUAACCAGAAAGCCACGGCUAACUACGUGCCAGCAGCCGCGGUAAUUC